rnacentral:ncRNA from 1 species
CGCUGAUCCGAUGAUUCAUGAUAACUCGACGGAUCGCAUGGCCUUUGUGCCGGCGACGCAUCAUUCAAAUUUCUGCCCUAUCACCUAUCGAUGGUAGGAUAGGGGCCUACCAUGGUGGUGACGGGUGACGGAGAAUUAGGGUUCGAUUCCGGAGAGGGAGCCUGAGAAACGGCUACCACAUCCAAGGAAGGCAGCAGGCG